rnacentral:rRNA from 1 species
AGCAGCCGCGGUAAUUCCAGCUCCAAUAGCGUAUAUUAAAGUUGUUGCAGUUAAAAAGCUCGUAGUUGAAUUUCGGGAUCAAUUUGCUGGUCGUGCCUUCGGUACGCACUGGUAUUAUUGGUUUCUCCUUUCUGAUGAAUCGCGAUGUCAUUAAUUUGGUGUCGUGGGGAAUCAGGACCGUUACUUUGAAAAAAUUAGAGUGUUUAAAGCAGGCUCACGCUUGAAUACAUUAGCAUGGAAUAAUGAAAUAGGACGUUUGAUUCUAUUUUGUUGGUUUCUAGGAUCGACGUAAUGAUUAAUAGGGAUAGUUGGGGGCAUUAGUAUUCAAUUGUCAGAGGUGAAAUUCUUGGAUUUAUUGAAGACUAACUACUGCGAAAGCAUUUGCCAAGGAUGUUUUCAUUAAUCAAGAACGAAAGUUAGGGGAUCGAAGACGAUCAGAUACCGUCGUAGUCUUAACCGUAAACUAUGCCGACUAGGGAUCGGAUGAUGUAAUUUUUAAUGACUCAUUCGGCGCCUUAAC